CUUUGAUAAACUUUUAAGGAAAUUAUCUAAAGCAAUGUGAGUAAUAUAAUUUCGAAUAGCCCAUUUAGCAAUAGUUAAAUUGACCCCCCCAACAUUUGAUGAAAUCAUUAUUAUACUUAUUAUCAGAACUAGAUGAUGAAUACAUCGAAGCAGUAAGAACUGUUGCAGCUUGCUUUCUUCUGUGAUACUGGUUAGAUUUACUUAUGUUAACUUUAGACCUAUUAAGAACACAACCAAAACAAAACCUAUUAUUAUCUGUAUUAGUAGAUACUAUAUAGGUACUGUCUAUAGACUAUGUAAUAAACAUUUCAUCAGAUAUUAAUAUAAUAACU